GACGAACGCUGGCGGCGUGCUUAACACAUGCAAGUCGAGCGGUAAGGCCCUUUCGGGGGUACACGAGCGGCGAACGGGUGAGUACACGUGGGUGACCUGCCCUCAGCUCUGGGAUAAGCCGUGGGAAACCGGGUCUAAUACUGGAUAUGACUCCAUGACGGCAUGUUGUGGGGUGAAAGCCUUGUGCGGCUGAGGAUGGGCCCGCGGCCUAUCAGCUUGUUGGUGGGGUGAUGGCCUACCAAGGCGACGACGGGUAGCCGGCCU
rnacentral:rRNA from 1 species